rnacentral:tRNA from 1 species
GAUGGUAUAGCUCAGUGGUAGCAUUUGCUUGGCAAGCACAGGGUCCUGGGUUCAAUCCCCGGUACCUCCA